AUGAACAAAGCAAGCCACCUGUGCUAUUUCCCCCCUGGAGGCCAGUGUGCAAUGGCUGCAAAUAACAGCCUCCUCAGUAGUGUAUACAGCCUGUUGCCUGUAUGAGUUGCCCUAAGGAACUUGAAUACAUCC
ensembl:snoRNA SNORA70 Small nucleolar RNA SNORA70